AAGACAUUCCUGUCUGUCCCGCACUCGGAAAGAUCUCUGUUUAUUUUGUUUUGCUUGUGCUUCAUGGGCUAUGAAAUCAGCAGCUUCCCAGUCAGAUAUGUGGAAAGUUGCUUUGCUGGUGAAUAUCAGUGCCAUCUCUGCUGUGAGAUACUUCAGGACACGUGCAAAAAGGGAAAAUUCUAAGUACUUGGCUCUCCAGGACUCCGAACAUAAAGAACCUUAGGAAGAAUGAAUGUUCAGGAAUUCAACCUGUAAAGCUAUAACAUUAAACAAUGCAACAAAAUCCAA